rnacentral:rRNA from 1 species
GACGAACGCUGGCGGCGUGCUUAACACAUGCAAGUCGAACGGAAAGGCCCUGCUUUUGUGGGUUGCUCGAGUGGCGAACGGGUGAGUAACACGUGAGUAACCUGCCCUUGACUUUGGGAUAAAUUCAGGAAACUGGGGCUAAUACCGGAUAGGAGCUCCUGCUGCAUGGUGGGGGUUGGAAAGUUUCGGCGGUUGGGGAUGGACUCGCGGCUUAUCAGCUUGUUGGUGAGGUAGUGGCUUACCAAGGCUUUGACGGGUAGCCGGCCUGAGAGGGUGACCGGCCACAUUGGGACUGAGAUACGGCCCAGACUCCUACGGGAGGCAGCAGUGGGGAAUAUUGCACAAUGGGCGGAAGCCUGAUGCAGCAACGCCGCGUGCGGGAUAACGGCCUUCGGGUUGUAAACCGCUUUCUCCUGUGACGAAGCGUGAGUGACGGUAAUGGGUAAAGAAGCACCGGCUAACUACGUG